CCGCACCGCUCUAGUUUGUCGCAGAAACAUGGAUAACCGACCUUAUUUACCGGCUAUCCACACUUAUGCACGAAAUUUCCCAAAUUUCUCGUCAAUGCAUCUGGAUUUUACGUUUAUUUGUGAAAUAGGUGACCUACAUUAGCGCCAUGUUUGAAAACAAUUGUGGUGAAGUGAUUGUUUUGAGUGGUUAAUGUUUAUAUUAUGGUAAAAGUGAGAAAAAUGUCGAGCGAGCCGGAGAGCGGUAUGAGCCGCACCCUGAGCGCGCUCGGCGGCGGGGACGCGUGCGGAGCUCGCUGGACUUUGGCAGCACUUCUACUGGCGCCUUUAGCUGCUGCCAACUCGAGCUACUGCGCAGUGCCUGCUGUUUUGAUGCUUGCCGCCUUUAUUACAGUGGCCACUAUCACAUGUAGAGACCUAAAGAAACUAGCUGAUAUCCUACCACCGGCAAGAACCAGCCGUGGCCGUCGCGAGCGCAACUUGCGCUCCUUCGCCGACUUCAUGGCAACGUGGAUGGUCUUCCUCUCACACCUGGUGGCUGUAGCCAUCUGCGCAAGGAUCCUCAGCGCGACGGCAGAUCACGUGACGAGCGGCCGGACGAGGCGAUGGCUUUUUGGAUAUGAAACCAGGGCGCUCGGCGAGCCUUGGCCUGAUGUGCUUGGGGUUACUGUGGUCAUGGUUGUCUGCGCCAUGUUCAUGUGUGGAUUGGAGGAAAGCAUGAUGUUCACGUUUAUGCUGUUGAUUCUGUUGUACAUAUUCAGUCAAUUCUUCGCUAUCUUUGGAUUAAUAAAUUUGGAUAUUGCAAAUAUAAACAUGCCUAUACCUAUGACUAUUUACGAGCUUUUUGCCGCUGGAUCACCUAUCUCAUACGCUUUUUGUGUAUCGACGCAAAAGAAAGAUAACGGGAGUUUAAAGAAGACUCUGAUUUUGAUGGUGGGAUUGCCUGCGAUUAUUUUGUCUGGCUUGUGUUUUUUGUAUACAAACAUGUUGAAAGGGAAUAGUAUAGAUGCAGCUUUACCAAUAACCACGCUACUAGAAGCCAGAGCGCCCUCGUGGGUGUGUCCCCUGUUAGCCGCAGUCACCGUAGCUGGGAUCAGUCUAGCCCUGACCGAGCUGUGUCCUAUACUCUUCUCUAUCCUGGUGACUUUGGCUUCUCCUGAAUGGAAGGUGCUCACUAGAUCCAUGACAUACGAAAGUCAAACAACGGGCAGUCCGGUGCUAGCUGUGUUCACUGCUGGUAGUCUAGCAGCAAUUCUUGCGUUCGCCUGUCCACUUUCCCACAUGAUCACUCUAAUGAACGCGAGUCACUUGCUGGGAAUUUCAGUACAGGCUUACCACUUUAUGAUAAUGCGUUGUGUACCGACUGCCGAACAAAAAGAAGCCGGAGAUGUCGAGUAUAAACGUCUAGAUCGAGGAGAUACACGAGCUAAGACGUCUGGCAAAAAAUCUAAGAGGGGGCUUUGGUUCAUCCCUUCUGCUAUACGACACACAAAAACUUUAGAGAGCAUCAAAUCUAAAGUAACCGCGAAAGAAACUGAAGAGCGGGAAUGUCUCCUCCUCGACGAAUACGGCAGCGGUGUAGUCGACGAUGCCGAGCCAAUGACCAGCUGCAGCAGUGACCAGCGGAUCGCGCCAACAGCCAUUGACGAAGUACCCUCGGACGUCGAAGUCGAAGUUAGCGAAGCGGACCUUUCGUCUGGCGAUGACUCCACUGAUAUCGACGCUGUUGUUAAGGAGUACAGGGAUACGAUACAAGUAGUGACGUCUCUCCCCGAGGCAAGCGCUCCCAUCCCUCCAUGCGUGCGCGGGGCUAGAUGGUCAGCAGUGGGCGCCACAGUGCAAGUGAUAGCCGCUGCCUUGAUAGCCGUGGCCUUCUGCAAUGAACACAUUCGAUUGCCGAUGUUUGCUGCUGGUAUACCAGUCUGGAUCUGCGGCGCCUUCAUAUGCGCCUGGCAGCCAGCUCACCCUCUGGGCAUGCGCAAGGCUCAAGGGCUACAAGCGCCAUUGGCUCUGUUGCCGGCUCUUCUGUUCCUCACGCCUCUACUGGUUGACUCCUGGCCUGCUAUCGUACUGUUCGCUGGCGCAGGUGUCGUGAUCUACGCUCGCUGCGAGCGAUGGUGUGGUGAUUUAGCCGUCCAGCAAGCCCGCAGCGCGGUUGAACGACGGAAGCUCCACGCUGUGUCAGCUGACGUCCCUCUGGCCGCACAUCUCGCUCACAUCGACACCGUGUACAUAACCAGAUGACAAGAAGAUGACUCGGACACGAGUCUGGACAACCUCAUUGACGCGGAAGACGAAGAGCCUGACCCUGACGAAUGACCAGCAGAUGUCAUCAUCCCGUAACCACCC